rnacentral:misc_RNA from 1 species
CCCGCUCUUGCUCUCGCGCGCUUUUUCUCGGUGCCUCUUUUCCUCCGCUUGCCGCUGAACCAGACGUGCUCAUUGGCCUGCCGCCCCGCCUCCCCCCCUUCAGAGCCGGCACGUGGGUUUGCUGCCCGCCCCCCCUCCUACCACCCCUCACUUUCCCAAGCGCUUCAUCUCCCUCUUCGCUUCUGCAUGAUGCCCCUGGAGCGUAUGCAGGUGCGGCGGCCGCCGCGCGGUGUAGAGGCGCCGGGCGACGGUCGUGGUCUUCCUGCAGCUGCUGUUCGCGGCGCGACCGCCCAAGCAACGACCACGACGGAGAGCAGUCGCUCCCACUCGCCAACCGGCACGGCGACGUCGACGGCGUCGUCUUCCUCGGCGCUGCUGCAGCAAGGCACGCUCGCUCAGCAGGCGCGCCGCUACGAGGACGAGAACAUUCGAUCGCUGCUUCAUCAGCUGCCCAGCUCACCGAAGCAGCUGAUGCGACGCCUGGAGCAGCAGCAGCAGGAAAUCAAUAUGCUCAAGGAGACGAACAUGCUCCUCAAGUCACGUGAGGUCGAGAUCUCGUCGCUGACGCUGCGGCUGCAGGAGCGCAUCAACGCUACCCAGAGCCAGGUCGAUCACAUCAAAACACAGGUUCAUCUGCAGCUGUCCAACCCGAUCACGGAGGAAGAGUAUCAGCGCAUCGAGUCGCUCACAGAGGCGCAGCGCGACCUCGUCGACGUCAUGAAGCUUGGCAUCUAUCGUCAGCUCGGAUCCCUGCGCGCGUCGCAGCAGGCGGCAACGAAGCGGGCCGCCGAGCUGAGCACGUCGCUGGCGCAACUGCAGCAGGAGAACAGCGACAUGAAGGUGCGCCUGGCCGAGUGCGAGUCCCAAGGCGGGACGGAAAAGGAGAAGGCGGAGAGGAUGGCGCGGCAGAUCGAAAACCAGCAGGCUCGCAUCGCUGAGCUGGAGGGCCACAUCGCGUCCCUCGAGGCAAAGAACAGGUCCAUGUACGUGGAUCAGGAGCAGUUCCUCUCGGCGAAGCUGACGGCACAGAUCAAGACGGACGAAGUGGCGCGUCUGUCGGUGCGGCUGGAGGAGUCGGAGAUGGACACGCAGCGGUACCGCGCCAAUGCCGAGUGCACGGAGCAGAAGCUGGACAUCCUGAAGUCAGAGUACUACGAGUUGAAGCUGCGCAACGGACAGCGUGUUCUCGAGCUCGAGAACGCCUUGAAGGCGUCGGAGGAGAAGCUCAAGACACUCGGCGACCUCGAGAUGGAGUCGCAGUUGUUCAUCUCCAAUCUGGCGACAUCCUCGCAGGGCGAUGUGGCCUUCAGCACUGACCCCGCAGACACGUCCGCUGGUCGUCCGACAGACGCUUACGAAGGGUGGCUUGCCCUGCCCCGCUCCCGCAAGCUGGCUCACACCCUUGUUGUCACGAAGCGCUGCCUGCACUUGGAGAACAAGGUUGCGGCGCUGGAGCACGACCUCAACUUCAAGCAAGCGCAAGUGGCUCGCCUGCAGGUCGCCCUCGACGGCGCCCGCGACGCGCUGCAUAACAUCAACAGCCCCUACGUGCUCGUGGAGAAGGCGAUGACGGAGCUUACGGACGAGAACGAGGCGCUGAAGCAGAAGGUGAACAUCCUGGAGCAAGACAAGAAGGAGCUGCAGCUCAAGGUGCAGCAAUAUGGAAGCAGCCUGCGCACCUUGACGCACCAUCGCCAAGAGCUACUUCGCAUCAAGAAGCUACUUCGUCAGCUGGGGCUUCGCGAAGGAUUCGUGCUCCCCACGGUCGACGAGGAGACGAGGCAGAUGGAGAGUCAGCAGCCUGAAACUGGGAAAACGCGGCACACGCGUAGUGGGAGUGCAAGCGGCGGUGACUUCACCUCCUCCACACAGCCAAGGGCGUCGAUGGGGUCAUCGGCCAGCGAGGCGCGCCGCGCUUUUGGCAAGGAGUCGCCUGGCUCGUUCGGCGCUCUUCGGCCAAUCGAGAUGACUUUUUGAGCGGCGGCACGCUGACGAUGCGCGUGCGUCUCGCGUUGUCGUUGCCACAUAGAAGAACGGCUGGGCGGGGGCCGGGCGGGAGUGGGGGAAUCGUUUUCGGAGCACGCCAAUGCGGGACUCGGAGCGACGCGCACAGAUGCCGUCGCAUCAUUCACUGGUUCCUAUUGCACUUGCACUUCACGGGAGCUCCGCCUGCGGGCAGAAGCGAGCGAACGGGAAGAAGGACUCUUCCCGCCUGCGCCCUCCUCUCUGUGCCUCCGCACUCCCCAGCCACUAUAGACCAUGUGAUGUCUGCUUGUUCGUGUAGGUGUAUGUCUGUGAGUGCCGAUGUGGUGUUUUGCGUGCACCAAUCCUCUGUGCACCUGUACGGCGGUUACGAGGAACGCGCGACGAGUGCCACACGCUCGCGCUUGCGGGUAGCGUGGGCAUGAGAGGGUGGCGCAUGUGGUGCGCACGGAGAGAACGACGGGUGUGCGACUGGGGAACGGGAAGGGGAGGGGGAGGGCGGCAUCAGCACACUCUGCUGCCGGUGGCGCUUCCUCCUGUUUGCCUUCCACUCACUUAUGUGUCUCCCUGCCGCCGCCUCGACAGGGCCCCCUCAGCACGACCACGCAUCGAUGUAUCGCCCGUGCCUCCCUAUCACGCGGGUCAACCUCUCUCGGCGUUCGUCCCAGAUCGGCCUCCAGGCACGAAGGCAUCAGGUCUAUGGCUAAG